CCAGCUACGGUGUGGUCAGUGGGAGUGACCCUCUUCAACAUCCUGUGCAACCGUUUCCCCUUCGGAGGCUCACUGAGGGUCACGUCCAGGAGCAAACUGACCUUCCCCAUAACUCUGUCAACAGAGGCAGUAGACGCAGAUGGAGAAGAGGAGAACACACACCGAACACACACUGAACAGCAGAUUCCAGCAGAAAACACACUCUGAUGCAGGUGAUGUGGAGGUGCUGUUAAACCGUUCAGCACAAGGAGACUCUUGCUCUAAAAUGAACAACAGGCCAUUAUUAAAGUGAAUAUAUAUUUAGUUAUUAUAUUCAUUUUAUUUUAUCUUUACUGAUUACACACAAUAAUGAAAAAUAUGAGUUUAACACGGAUGAAUUUGCUAAAAGUGGUUGGAAAAUCAGAAGUUAAAGAUUCUAAUAUUAAAUACACUAUAAAUCAUCGUUUUACAAAAUAUAAUGAAUUUGCUGUUAAUUUAAUUUAAAGUAUUAUUAGAAACUAAGAUACACUUUAAAAACUAAUUAUAAACACUUAUUUUACUAAUAUACUUUAUUAAAUAUACAUUAUUUCUGUAUUUGAAGUCGGACUAUGGCUGCAGGAUUGUGUUGCUUAAUUAUUUGCAGGACUUUGCAUUAAUUAUCGAUAAAAUUCAUUCAAAUAAUAUUAAAAUAAUAAAACUUUAGGUAAACAUGUAAACUUAUCAUUAAAGCACAGCUAUAUUAUGAAGAGAUAAACUAUAAUUGACACUAAUAUUAGCUGUAAUCCAUAAUCAUCAAAAUGAACUGAAAUAAACACUUGAAAUAAAUUAUUCUGAGUGUAAUGAAUGAUUAAAUAAUUCCCCAGCACGGUUUAAUUGAGAAAAUAUCUUUUGCAACACAUUUUUAAACAUAAUAUGUUAAAUAAAUAAUCUCUAAUAACUCAUGACACAAUAUUUUAAUAGUUAUUUUACAAGACACUAGUAUUCAGCCUAAAGUGCAGUUUAAAGGCUUAACUGGGUUAAUUAGGUUAACUAAAGUUAGUUUAAUUUAGGCAAAUCAUAGGACAACAGUGUUUGGUUCUGUAGCCAAAAAAAAAAAAAAAAAAAUCUUACAGGGCUAAUAAUAAUGUGCUUAAUUUUUUGUUUGUUUUUAUCAAAAACUGUUUUCACUUCAGCCAAACUGAAAAAUAAACUUCACUGAUCUGAUAAGAUCUCUUAGAUCAUUGUCACAAAGCACAGAUUUUCCAUUAGGCUUUCUUUAGUCUUGUGUAUUGAUUAAUGU